rnacentral:rRNA from 1 species
GCAGGCCGUCGCGUUCUCGUACGUUGCGUGCUAUCUGCCAUGCCAACCUUCGCGUUCACGGUGCUGCGAAUACCAAAGAAGUUCAUAAAGGAGAUCGACAAGUCAAGACGGCGCUUCCUCUGGGCGGGAGACGAAGAAAUCUCGGGCGGCAAAUGCAAGGUUCGCUGGGCAACUGGGCGGACUGGGCAUCCCUGA